AGGGGAGUAGCUCAAUUGGUAGAGCGUCGGUCUCCAAAACCGAAGGCUGGGGGUUCGAGCCCCUCCUCCCCUGCCA
rnacentral:tRNA from 1 species